AAAACUUUUCAGCUAGAGUAUGAUAGAGGAAAGCAGAAUUUCUAGUGUAGAGGUGAAAUUCGUAGAUAUUAGAAAGAAUACCAAUUGCGAAGGCAGCUUUCUGGAUCGUUACUGACACUGAGGAACGAAAGCAUGGGUAGCGAAGAGGAUUAGAUACCCUCGUAGUCCAUGCCGUAAACGAUGUGUGUUAGACGUUGGAAAUUUAUUUUCAGUGUCGCAGCGAAAGCGAUAAACACACCGCCUGGGGAGUACGACCGCAAGGUUAAAACUCAAAUGAAUUGAUGGGGACCCGCACAAGUAGUGGAGCAUGUGGUUUAAUUCGAAGAUACGCGCAGAACCUUACCAACACUUGACAUGUUCGUCGCGACUCUAAGAGAUUAGAGUUUUCGGUUCGGCCGGACGAAACACAGGUGCUGCAUGGCUGUCGUCAGCUCGUGUCGUGAGAUGUUGGGUUAAGUCCCGCAACGAGCGCAACCCUCACUUUUAGUUGCCAUCAUUAAGUUGGGCACUCUGAAAGAACUGCCAGUGAUAAGCUGGAGGAAGGUGGGGAUGACGUCAAGUCCUCAUGGCCCUUACGUGUUGGGCUACACACGUGCUACAAUGGUAUCUACAACAGGAAGCAAGACUGCGAGGUCAAGCAAAUCCCUAAAAGAUACCUCAGUUCGGAUUGCACUCUGCAACUCGAGUGCAUGAAGCUGGAAUUACUAGUAAUCGUGGAUCAGCGUGCCACGGUGAAUGCGUUCCCGGGUCUUGUACACACCGCCCGUCACACCAUGGGAGUUGGUUCUACCUUAAGGCAAGGUUUAAUAUCCUUGACCACGGUAUAGUCAGCGACUGGGGUGAAGUCGUAAAAAGGU
rnacentral:rRNA from 1 species